rnacentral:rRNA from 1 species
AACGAACGCUGGCGGCGCGCCUAAUACAUGCAAGUCGAGCGAGAAGACGUAGCAAUACGUUUGUAAAGCGGCGAACGGGUGAGGAAUACAUGGGUAACCUACCCUCGAGUGGGGAAUAACUAGCCGAAAGGUUAGCUAAUACCGCGUACGCUCCUUGGACUUCGGUUCAGGGAGGAAAGCGAUACCGUGGGUAUCGCGCUCUUGGAUGGGCUCAUGUCCUAUCAGCUUGUUGGUGAGGUAACGGCUCACCAAGGCUUCGACGGGUAGCUGGUCUGAGAGGACGAUCAGCCACACUGGCACUGCGACACGGGCCAGACUCCUACGGGAGGCAGCAGUAAGGAAUAUUGCGCAAUGGGCGAAAGCCUGACGCAGCGACGCCGCGUGGGGGAUGAAGGUCUUCGGAUUGUAAACCCCUUUCGGGAGGGAAGAUGGAACGAGCAAUCGUUCGGACGGUACCUCCAGAAGCAGCCACGGCUAACUUCGUGCCAGCAGCCGCCG